GAGAGAUCCCGAAUCUGUUCGCGAUCCCUUCUUGCGCGGCUAGGGCACAGCGGCUUCCCUUCUUCUUCCUCCGGCCGGCGGCUUCUCUUCUCUUACCUUUGCUGCCGUCGGCCGGCCAUCCACAGCCACAACUCCUUCUCCUAGAUCCAAACAGACGACGGCAGCAAGCUUCGACCGCAACGGCAACGUGCAUUCACCUUGCCGGAGGGGUUCUCCGGCAAGAUCCUUUACCUUCCGGUGUUCUUCCUGCAGUUCUUCCUACUGGGGUUCAGGCGGCAGAGGCAGAGAAGCAGCGGCGGUUCAUCCGAAUUCACAGCACCUCCAUUACUUCCGUUCAUCUUCCAUUGAGGGGGUUCUUCGGUGGAAGCUACGGUCAUCAUCCUCGUUGUUGAAGCAAGCACAGCCGGUAAUUUGGUUGAUGUUCAUCGGUUCGUUCAGGAGUUUUGAGUGAAGCUUCUUCAUCCACAGCAGCUCUUCAUUCCUCAUCAGAUUUGAACAGCUUUUGUUUGUUGCAGUUUCUUCACUGAAUUCGUAUUGAUAUGUUGAUUUGUAUGGUUGAUUAUUUGAUGCUUGUACUAAAUUGUUCUCCCAUGUUUUAGUGCACGUACUCAUGCUAUUUUGAUUCAUGCUCGUGAAGUGUUCGACAAAAUGUUUCUUCCAACAGUAGAUUUAAAUUCGUGCACUUUAUUUCACUUAAUGUUUGCUUGUCUUGUCUUUUGCAAUUGCUAUAAGUUUUGUUCUUCGUUUGAAUGCAAUUAGGCUAGGGUAGAUUAGUUUUCUUUAAUGCUCUAGAUUUCAUUCAAUGCUUACUUUAUGUUGUCUUUAAUUUUCUUGUAAUCAUAGUUUAAGUUAGACUAGGUUUUCUUAUUUGCAUCUUCUUUCAUUUACUAGGUUAGGUUCAUUUAAUGUUUUGCUAUUUCAUUCCUUAGAUUAAUUCUGUUAAUGGUGAAAUCAUAGCGUAGAGUGACAAUGCGCUAUGAGAUCACUACUAAUGGAUAAAUAGAAUAUCUUUCAUUAAUUAGGAUUAGAUUUCAUACUUGCUUUGCUCUUUUGUUCCUUAAGUUUAAUUUCAUACUUGUUUUAUUAUUUCAAUUCGUAGUUCAAAAUUCAAAACUCAAACCCCCAGUUUCUUAUCAAAAAUCUAAAAGUCAUAACAAAUCCUGAAGUUAUCAUCCUAUCGUUACAUUCUUUGGGAGACGACCCGAGUCAUUUCUAUACUACUUUAAUGUAGAGGGGUUAGGUAAACUUUAAAUUGUAAUUUGAUAAGCUCCCGUAGCACGACACUCGAGCUUACAUCAAAUAUUGGCGCCGUUGUCGGGGAUCUUGUAGUGGUGUUUGAUAAUUUUAGGAUUACUUUCUUAUUUUUCUACAAAAUUUUGUUAAAAAAAAUUGUCAAAUGCUUUGAUGUUCAUUGAUUCAUGUGUUGAUAUCAUAUAUUCCUGUGUCUUCUAAUAUUGUCUGUUAGUGUUUCAGUGUAAGACCAGGACAAUUCUUUCAGUUCAACAUGGAUCUUUAUUCUCAGCAAUUUGGAAGCUUCAAUGAAUAUCACAAUUUGGAUACUGGGCAAGUGAGACACAUAUGUACUAAUUGUGGCAGUCCAUCGCAUCCAGUUGUUAUAUGUCAUCUCAUUCAAAAGACUGCUAGAUUUCCUAUGGAACCCCAGUAUUUCCAAUAUCAAUAUCAACAGGCAUAUGAUCCAGCUCCUAAUACCUAUAGUCAUGACUGGGGCAAUUAACUCAGUACUUUCAACCCCAGAUUCCAGAGCAGUAUGGAUACUUCCAAUCUUAAUGCUAUCAACCCCAACAAAUUCCUGAGCAGUAUGAGAAAACACAACAACAGGCUAUUGAGCAUCCUCAGUGUUACAAUUCAGAUUGGAUGAACCAUCCAAAUUUUAUGCAUGGGAACGAGCAACAACAAUUGAAUCAAUCUUUUCCAUCAUAUCAGUUGCCACAAGGAUUUCAGGAUGAUUCUAUGCCCACAUGGUCACAUUCAGUCCAACAGACUGAACCAGCUCCUUGGGGGGCAUUUCAAGAGAGCACUGAAGAAGUUCAUGCCCCUAGUCAAUCAAUAUUUCAAGAUUUGAAGGAUGUAAUGUAGCAGAUGCAGCAACAACAAGAGACAUAUACCCAGUCUCAACAAAGAAAUGAAGCAUAACUACAGAAUUGUCAGAUGUAUCUAGAUCAAAUUGCAGCAUCCAUCAGCCAGCGACAAGCCCAAUUAUCUAGUGAGGAGAUGGAUUCUAGAGAAUGUCAUGGCCCUGACCCUGAUUCUACUCCUAUACAGGACUCCUCUAGCCUUUUGUGUGAUGAUGUUGCAAUUUGUGAUUAUUUUAAUUCUUCUAAUAUUGUCGCUGCAGAUAUUGUUGAUGUAGGUGUUGUUGGUGACGUUGAGGAGCUAGCUGAGCCUGAUAAUACAUCUAUUGAUGAAGAAAGUGUAGGGACUUGCAUGGUGGAAGCAAUGUCCCAAGAAUCACCUAUUUUUGUUGCCGAGCACCUGAUGAUAAAAGUGUAAGGACUUGUGCUGUGGAGGCAGAGCCCCAAGAAUCACUUCUUUUUGAUGCACCACCAGAAUCUGAGCCAGAACCAAAGUCUGAGUUAUUAUUUGAUGAAGAGAAAGUCAUAUCCAUUGUUUUAGAACCUCCAGGCCCUUGAAGUGGAUGCUUAAGUUGAACCGUCUUCAACCUCCGGGAAGAACUUCAAAAAGAAUAGGGGGAAGGGAGCGGUCUUUACUUCAAAUGCAAAUAUUCCACUCCCAACUUGGAUUUUGCACCUUAAUCGUUUGCAACCACCGGGAAGGAUCAUUCCACUACCGGCGUGGAUACUACUUCUAAAUCGUCUUCAACCGCCAGGAAUAAAGGGGAGUUCGUUCUUUUCCUUUCCUUUUUUUGUUUUUCUUUAUCUUUACACUUGCAUGUUUGUUUGCUUCUAUACUUUGCUUUCAUACUUUGUUUUCUUGUUUUGCAUUUUGUUUGGUCUUUUUUAUACCUUGCUUGAUUUUGAGUGAUAUCUCUCUAGAUGUCCCUUUAUAAUGCUUUGAGAAUUGAAAAAGACAGUUAAGUUUGACUAUCAAGUUUUGGUUUCCUUGGUAUUGUUGGGUACAUUAAUUGCAUUAGUCAUUUGUUGUGGUGAUGGACUCUAUCUUGUUAGAUUAUGCAUAAUAUUUUGUUAUUCACCUAGUGAGGUUUUUUCCACGCUUAUCCUUAAUCCUCUUGUGUGUGAUAGCACUUGUGAUAUUUGACACUUUAGAACUUGCUUUGAUUCUUUUUGAAAUUAUGGUAACAUAAGCUUGCAUGAAUAUGAUAGAGGCAAAUUUUCUUAUUCAUCUCUUAGUUGUUCCUCUACUUUGUUGUUCUUAUCAGUAAACAUUUCACCUAUUGCUUUCAUGCUUCAUUGUACUUCCCUUGUCAUAUAUUCUCAUUGUCGUUAUAUUUUCACUAUCAUAUCUUUAUCGAUUCAUUCAUUCCCUAGUCCUUUGAUGAGAGCAUUGGGUGAUUGCAUGAAGAGUUACAUUUUCUUUGGCAUAUCUUUAUUGGUUUAUUUUUAGCCCCUAUUGUUGUGAGUUUUAAGAAAUAUCAUGAUUUGUUAUAUUGUCCGAGACGGAUAAGUUUAAGUGUGGGGGAUGCAAAUAUGUAUGGACGAAUGCUUGUUGAAAAAAAAAAUUUCUCUCUAUGUAAAAAAAUUCUCUCUACAUAAAAAAAAAAGUUGAAAAAAAUAAGAGAGAGAGAGAGAAAAAAAAUUCUCAAGCAUUUGUUAUUUUGUUAGUGAUGAACAAGAAGAAAUAGAUCCAUGGAAAGAUUGAUGUAUACUCAUUUUACAUUCUUAUUGAGAGAUUCUCAUGAGUUAGUUGUUAAUACAUACAUGUAUUUUGGAGAUGUAAUAAUGGUUGAUGUAUAUCGCAUUGAGAAUGUGCAAGGAGAGUUGAGUGUUGGAUGUUUGAGUGAGUUUUUUUUUAGCAUAUUAUUUUAUUAUAUUCUUCAUGUUGAUUACCCCAAUGCUCUCAUAUUCUCUUUGAAUUCCUUUGUUGUCUAUCCUUCUUGUUCUAUUGUUUACAUUUGUGGUUUUAUUAUUAUUCAUGACAAGUCCUCUUGAUUUGUGUGUACUUAUGUUUGCAUUAGUGGAGAAGUAGAAAAUAAGCAAGCAUAUGGUAGUGCAAUAUCAUGAGUUGCUUUAGAGAGAGCUCCACUUUCAUGUCUAUUAUUUAUGUGAGCAUGAGUGUAUAUAUUGUCCUUGUCAGACUUUAUCAUGCUUAAUCUAUUCAAGUUGAUUGAAA